rnacentral:rRNA from 1 species
CCUACGGGGGGCAGCAGUGGGGAAUAUUGCACAAUGGGGGAAACCCUGAUGCAGCGACGCCGCGUGAGUGAAGAAGUAUUUCGGUAUGUAAAGCUCUAUCAGCAGGGAAGAAAAUGACGGUACCUGACUAAGAAGCCCCGGCUAACUACGUGCCAGCAGCCGCGGUAAUACGUAGGGGGCAAGCGUUAUCCGGAUUUACUGGGUGUAAAGGGAGCGUAGGUGGCAAAUCAAGUCAGAUGUGAAAGCCCGGGGCUCAACUCCGGGAUUGCAUUUGAAACUGGUAUGCUAGAGUGCAGGAGAGGUAAGUGGAAUUCCUAGUGUAGCGGUGAAAUGCGUAGAUAUUAGGAGGAACACCAGUGGCGAAGGCGGCUUACUGGACUGUAACUGACACUGAGGCUCGAAAGCGUGGGGAGCAAACAGGAUUAGAUACCCUUGUAGUC